UGGGGAAUAUUGCGCAAUGGGCGAAAGCCUGACGCAGCGACGCCGCGUGAGGGAUGAAGGUUCUCGGAUCGUAAACCUCUGUCAGGGGGGAAGAAACCCCCUCGUGUGAAUAAUGCGAGGGCUUGACGGUACCCCCAAAGGAAGCACCGGCUAACUCCGUGCCAGCAGCCGCGGUAAUACGGAGGGUGCAAGCGUUAAUCGGAAUCACUGGGCGUAAAGCGCACGUAGGCGGCUUGGUAAGUCAGGGGUGAAAUCCCACAGCCCAACUGUGGAACUGCCUUUGAUACUGCCAGGCUUGAGUACCGGAGAGGGUGGCGGAAUUCCAGGUGUAGGAGUGAAAUCCGUAGAUAUCUGGAGGAACACCGGUGGCGAAGGCGGCCACCUGGACGGUAACUGAUGCUGAGGUGCGAAAGCGUGGGUAGCAAACAGG
rnacentral:rRNA from 1 species